rnacentral:rRNA from 1 species
AAACGAGCCUGUGAAGGGGAGCAAAUCCCAAAAAUAACGUCCCAGUUCGGAUUGUAGUCUGCAACCCGACUACAUGAAGCUGGAAUCGCUAGUAAUCGCGGAUCAGAAUGCCGCGGUGAAUACGUUCCCGGGUCUUGUACACACCGCCCGUCACACCAUGGGAGUCGGAAAUGCCCGAAGUCUGUGACCUAACCGUAAGGAAGGAGCAGCCGAAGGCAGGUCGGAUGACUGGGGUGAAGUCGUAACAAGGUACC